CUGGCAGGCUGGCGGGUGGGCAGGGGUGUGAAGGGUGGCCGCUGUUUUGCGGCUCCGGCUAAAGAUGGCGGCUGAGGGCGGGGGCAAGGAGUUGAACGAGAUCAAGUCGCAGUUCCGGACCCGGGAGGGAGCCUACAAGCUGCUGAGCCUGUCGGAGUACAGUCGUCCGAACCGGGUGCCCCUGAGCGCCACUCAGGGCACCAAUCCGGUGCGGGUUUCUAUGGUAAACGUGCGGGACCAGAGCGGCAGCGGCGACCGCAUCUGCUUCAAUGUGGGCCGGGAGCUCUAUCUCUACCUGUACCGAGGCCCCAGAAAGGCAGCAGAUCUAAGCAAACCCAUUGACAAGCGGAUAUACAAAGGGACACAGCCCACCUGCCAUGAUUUUAACCAAUUCACUGCCACGCCUGACAGCGUCUCGCUUGUAGUUGGUUUCUCCGCGGGUCAAGUGCAGUACCUGGAUCCGAUUAAGAAGGAAACCAGCAAACUGUUUAAUGAAGAGAGGUUUAUUGACAAGACCAAAGUGACCUGCCUAAAGUGGAUGCCUGAGUCUGAGAGCCUCUUCCUGGUCGCCCACACUAGCGGCAACCUUUACCUCUACAAUGUGGACCAUCCGUGUGGAACCACUGCUCCCCACUACCAGCCACUGAAGCAGGGACCAGGCUUUGCUGUAUACACCUGCAAAAGCAAGUCGAGCCGGAACCCACUGCUGAAGUGGUCAGUGGGUGAGGGGGCGCUGCACGAGUUCGCCUUUGCCCCUGACGGCAAGCAUGUGGCAUGUGCCAGCCAAGAUGGCAGCCUGCGGGUCUUCCAUUUCGAUUCCAUGGAGCUGUAUGGAGUGAUGAAGAGCUACUUUGGGGGCUUGCUGUGCGUGUGCUGGAGUCCGGAUGGCCGCUAUAUCGUGACGGGGGGUGAGGAUGACCUCGUGACAGUCUGGUCCUUCUGGGACUGCCGGGUGAUUGCACGGGGGCACGGUCACAAGUCCUGGGUCAGCGUGGUGGCUUUUGACCCUUACACAAGUAGCAUGGAUGAAGGCGACCUGCCCGAGUUCAGUGGGAGUGACGAUGACUUUCAGGAGCAUGCUCCACUUGCCCGCAAUCGCACAAACAGCACUUUAUCCAGACUCUCCAAGCACAAUUCCACAGAUGGACGGGCAGCUAGUGUGACCUACCGCUUUGGCUCUGUGGGCCAGGACACUCAGUUUUGCCUCUGGGAUUUGACAGAAGACAUCCUUUUUCCCCAUAAGCCCCUCUCACGGGCUCGGACGCACACGAAUGUGGUGAGCACCACAGUCCCUGGCUCCCUCAGUGGCAGAAGCCUCACCAGUGGUCUCUUACUGGAGGCUGGCACCGCCAACUCUAUCCCGCACUCGCUCUCCCGCUCCAACAGCCUGCCGCACCCAGCAGUGACCAAUGCCAACAGUAAGGCCCACACGGAUGGGGGUAUGCCCUUCAGUAUCAGUAAGUUUGCCACGCUGGCUCAUCAUGAGCGCAAGGAUAAGUGCACGGAGAAGGACCACAAACGUAACCACAGCAUUGGACACGUCAUCAGCAAGAGUAACGACAAGCUGCACAUGGUCACAAGGAACAAAACUGAUCCAGCAAAGAGUUUGGGUACCACCUUGUGCCCCCGAAUGGAUGAGGUGCCAUUGCUAGAGCCUUUGGUCUGUAAAAAGAUUGCACAUGAGAGACUAACGGUGUUGAUAUUCUUGGAGGACUGCAUAGUCACUGCCUGCCAAGAGGGCUUCAUUUGCACAUGGGCACGGCCAGGUAAAGUGGUGAGUAUGGGAGGCACAGGGACAGAUCAGAGACGUAAUCUCUGUCACCUCCUCCUGCCUUAGAACCCCUCUGACUUGUAUGCACCAAUACUGUUUGCUUAUACAGCCCUGAAUUUAUUCACCCCACUGCUGGCAGGCAUGCUUUCAGCUGCCAAGGACAAAAGGAUGGAAUCUCUUCGUGCUCCUCCUUUUUGAACACUUCCCCUUGACCAAGCUGAGUAACUCCUCACACAACAGUGUCGUAUUUGCCUGGCAGAGACACCCGAUGAGGGUUUACUGUCGGCACAGAAUCAAGCUAAUUCACCGAGUGGCACUGUGGUGUAGUUGGAGUCUGCUUUGGAAGUGCAUUCAAUUGUGGUCUGCCAGGGCUUUGCCAGUAUUUAGGCAUUUGCCCGUUGACUGUUAGAGCUGCUGCUGCAUCAGUGGUCCCAGUGGUUGGAUAAGGAAUACCCAAGUGGGUCAGUCAUGAGCCGAAAUGGACUCCUUUAUUUAUUAAUAUGUUCAACACUAAAUCCUGUCCUGGAUUUGAACCUCAAAUCACUUCUAAUUUAUCAAACUGUACAGUUAAAAUGUAACCCAGAGAGCAAAAUCAGGAGCUUUAUCAGUGUCUUACUACAGAUAGAUUAUUAUAUAUUGUGUACAUAGACAAAGAUUCACUGAAACUAACUGAGGAUGGGUAGCCUGUGUAAUUCUCAUUGCAGACUCAAAUAUGAGUACUGAGCAAUACGUAUCCCAUGAAUAGGAUUUGAUCGGAAACAAAUUCCAGUUUUUGGAAAUGUUCAUCUCCGAUUGGGUAUGGAAUAAACAUAAGUAAUAGAAGGCCUGACAGAGCAAUAUGCUUCUGCUACUGUCUGUGGAGUAAGCAAUUUAGAGUUGGUCACUUUUUUUUAUUUGCACUUGAUCAAAUUCUACAUGACUGAAUUGUGAUGAGGUACACAGUGCCAUUACCCCUGCCUAUAAAUAUUGUACAUGCAGUGAUUUGCAAAAGAUAACAUAUGACUGAUUUCACCUUUAUUAAAAUAUUUAAAAUAUGUUUCUAAUA